AGAUUGGGUCCCUGGUAUCAUGAAUGCUGGGCAACCUCUUGAACACUGAGUCUGCUGUGCCCCUAGAGUCUCUUCUCUGGACCUGCUGUCCUGCCUAUCUCCCAUGUGGCUGGACCACAGUUGAUUGGAAGACAGUGACCAUCAGUGCAGGCAUUGAUGAUCCAUAGGUGGCAGAGAAAAUGAACUAAGAUCUAUCAAUAAGAAGAUAACCUACAGCCCACCAUGAGACAUGCCACCUCUAUUACAUCUGCAAGAGUCCAGGAGAAAAUUGCAGAGGAAACAGUGACGUGAAUACUGUUUUUGCUACUAACCUGACAACUGGUUCUGGGGUGAUGG